rnacentral:rRNA from 1 species
UACGUAGGGUGCAAGCGUUUAAUCGGAAUUACUGGGCGUAAAGCGUGCGCAGGCGGUUUUGUAAGUCUGUCGUGAAAGCCCCGGGCUCAACCUGGGAAUUGCGAUGGAGACUGCAAGGCUUGAAUCUGGCAGAGGGGGGGUAGAAUUCCACGUGUAGCAGUGAAAUGCGUAGAGAUGUGGAGGAACACCGAUGGCGAAGGCAGCCCCCCUGGGUCAAGAUUGACGCUCAUGCACGAAAAGCGUGGGGAGCAAACAGG